rnacentral:lncRNA from 1 species
UCCUUUGAAUCCUUUGCUUAUCAAUAACUCUUUGUUCUUUGUUGUCAAAAGGAGCUUUGCCCUCAGGUAAACAGGAAAGGAAGAUGUCUCUUACUUACAGACAGGGAACAUUUUGCUGAUGAGACGGAAAGCUGCCAGAGAAGCCAAGCUGUCAAGAAGACUUCAGUUUUUUUCAGGAUAGUAGUACCAGCUGAAUGUUGGCUCAAGGUAAUGACUAGCUAAGUAGGCUCUGUGCACCAUUCCCCAUUCAGGAUGCAGACGCUCUUUUGUAUUAGUUAAUUAGCAGUUAUUUGUUGAUUGCCAACUAAAUAUCAACACUAAAAAAGGCCAUUAAGAAGAGGUAUAUGGGAGAAAACUUUCCUUUGAAGAAUGUUUGGGAAAACAUGGUUGGGAUUAUGAUUUAGUCUCAGUUAAGUGGCAAUAAUGUCUAACUCCCUAAAAGUAGCUUUGCGCCCUAGCCACCAACAUGGAGUAGCAGCAUUUUAACUUUCAUCAAAGUAGGUAUAUCCCUAUUAUCUCGUGACCAACUUCUAUCCAAACUUUAGUUCUGAGGAACAGUAAUUAGAAAGAGAGAGAGAAAAAGAGGGAAAGGAGGAAAGGAAGAAAGAGAUUAAAUAAAUAAAGGACUAGAUUAUACA